GUUCCACUAAAUUUAGCGGGGAAAAUAUACCGCUAAAUUUAGCGGGGAAACUUUCCGCUAGAUUUAGCGGGGAAACUCUUCCGCACGAUUCAGCGGGCAAAAUUUUCCGCUAAAUUUAGCGGGGAAAAAUUUUCGCUAGAUUUAGUGGGGAACAUUUCCCGCUAGAUUUAGCGCGGAAAUUUUCCCG
rnacentral:snRNA from 1 species